rnacentral:rRNA from 1 species
UACGUAGGGUGCGAGCGUUGUCCGGAAUUAUUGGGCGUAAAGGGCUCGUAGGCGGUUUGUCGCGUCAGGAGUGAAAACUCGGGGCUUAACCCCGAGCCUGCUUCUGAUACGGGCAGACUAGAGGUAUGCAGGGGAGAACGGAAUUCCUGGUGUAGCGGUGAAAUGCGCAGAUAUCAGGAGGAACACCGGUGGCGAAGGCGGUUCUCUGGGCAUUACCUGACGCUGAGGCGCGAAGGCGUGGGGAGCGAACGGG